AACAAGGCGUACCUGCGGACCUGCGGAGGGAUCAUUACACAAAUAACAUAUGAAGGCUUGUACGCGGCUGUGCCCUUCUGGGUGCAGCGUCUGCUGCGGCUGGAUUAUUUAUUUUCACCCUUGUCUUUUGCGCACUUGUUGUUUCCUGGGCGGGUUCGCCCGCCACCAGGACCACAUGAUAAACCUUUUUUAUGCAGUUGCAAUCAGCGUCAGUACAACAAAAUGUAAAUCAUUUACAAC
rnacentral:misc_RNA from 1 species